rnacentral:rRNA from 1 species
UACGUAGGGUGCAAGCGUUAAUCGGAAUUACUGGGCGUAAAGCGUACGCAGGCGGCUUUGCAAGACAGGUGUGAAAUCCCCGGGCCUAACCUGGGAACUGCAUUUGUGACUGCAUAGCUAGAGUUUGUCAGAGGGGGGUGGAAUUCCACGUGUAGCAGUGAAAUGCGUAGAUAUGUGGAGGAACACCGAUGGCGAAGGCAAUCCCCUGGGCCUGCACUGACGCUCAUGCACGAAAGCGUGGGGAGCAAACAGG